ACAGGGAAAGGUGGUGCAUGCCUAUAUUCUCAACUUUUUGGGAGGCUGAGACGGGGCAUUGCUUGAGGCAAGGAUUUCUAAGAUAUAGUGUGUCAUGGCAGUCAGAUGUCCACACUAAGUUUUUCAUCAGUGUGGUAACCUCCUGUGAGCAGGAGACUGCCAGGUUGCUCAAAGAAGGGUAAACUAUCCCAGCUCAGAAAUGAAGCAGUCAAAACUCUCAUGCUGAUCCGUAGUGGGAUCACACCUGUGAAUAGUCACAAUAGUCACGGCAUUCCAGCCUGGACAACAUAACGAUACCCUGUGUCUU
rnacentral:SRP_RNA from 1 species